rnacentral:lncRNA from 1 species
UUAUAACCACAUAGUAGGAUCGACUAGAUAGAUAAGGAGUUAUAACGGUAGGCACAGGGUGCCGAACGGUAGGCUCAGAGGCCAAAACUGUGAUAGCAGGGCUCUGUGGCCAUGCUUAUGAGGUACCAGAUAUGUAACCUCUAAGAUAGAUCAUGUAUCGGUAGCAGUACUGCGAACUCUGAAUAUUUAUAUGGCAUGCCAUACCCUUAAGCUAACCUCGACUCCUAUUACGUUUACCAGGGCCAAGUAUCAUUAACUCAAUGUAUCAAUGUAAAUCCAUGUCAUUUGAAGCUAUUUGAUUUCUUUUUCCAAAGUACAUAUAUCAUAUACCAAGGUUUACAAUAUGGAAAACUCAUGGCAAAUAGUGCAAAACUUUAUUGACUUAGCAUUUCAAUAUAGAAAACUACAUUCUGCCAUAUAUUGCAUAAACUUUUCAAGCAGUUUAGAGUUACAAUUUGACUUCAGUUUCUUCAUAAGAAAUGUAUAUUUAUGUCUUAUCUUUCCAACAAGGUAUGGUUCAUGCAAAUCUGAUCAUCCUAGCUUAAGUUAUGAAUUUUUAUUUACAAGCUGCUCAACAAGGUCUUAAUCAGUCCAGUAUUGGUACUUGUUAAUAGUAUCACAAAACUUAUCAGAUUCAUACAUUUCCAUACAAAUUCAAGCUUAAAUUUCUUCUACAAAAUUUUAGGUAUACUUAUUAAGAUUCAUUUGGCACUGGUCUUAACAAAUUUCACUAAGUAUGUAAUUAGUUAUGGUAUAAUCAAUAGACUCUGUUCCGGAUGCACUACCACUGUGUCCAUUUUAGGUUCACUUGCAAUUUUCAUCAUUUUAACUACAGAUUCAGAAUUUUUUCAAUUCAUGAAAGUUUUAGAUAUUUGUCUUAGAUUUCAGUUGGUAUAUCUUAGGCCUAAUUUCAAUAUAUACACAAUAAGUUAUGAAGUUAGUAACACAAGCUGUCCUGUUACAACCUAUUCUGCCAGAUUUACACUUUGAGCUCCCAUGUUAAAUUUCUUUACUCUAAGCCUUUC